rfam:Oryza sativa (indica cultivar-group) chromosome 1, whole genome shotgun sequence.
AAAAAGGCAAACCCUAAAUUUUCGUACCCAACGUUUCACUGUUUGUCUUAUAUAAAAUUUUUUUAUAAUUAGUAUUUUCAUUAUUGUUAGUUCAUAAAACAUGAUUAAUACUUUAUAUGUGACUUAUCUUUUUAAUUUUUUUCAUAAUUUUUUCAAAUAAGACGGACGGUCAACCAUUGGACACGGAAACUAGGAUUUAUUUAUU